AACCUUAGGGUGCAUUCGUUUAUGCAGUGACUGCCGCAGAAUGCCGCAGAUGUCGUUCGUUUACUCCACCUGCGCAACCGACUGCAGCGCAGUUUGUUGUUCGUUUAAGCAGAGCUGCUGCCUAUCUGCGCAGCCAUCUCGGAGGUCCUGCUCAGGAUGCUUUGCUCGCAGUACUGCGGACUACUGCGUAAACGAAUGUAGUCUUCUCCAUUGUUAAGCCAAUUGAACUUGGAAACGUUGCCUGAAAAUUAUUUCAAUUAUGAGUUAUGUUAUGAAAGUUCAGAACAAAGAAGGUGGAGAAUAACUCCUCCAAAUAGAUCCUACAAAACUAAAAGUAAUGCAAGUCAUUCCUAGCUAUCAAGCUACUUCGUCCCCAGUUAGUUUGGAAAAAUCUGAGAAGUCUACAUUCAGCAACAUUUCAAUCCUACCGUCAUCACUAUCUGAAAAUGUUAUGUGCACACGUCAUAUGUCAGAACCUUCAACCUAUUUAAAAAUUUUAUUAUAUUUAUUCAAAUAAUAAUUCAUAUUUAUUUAAAAUUUCUUUACUUACGCACUCCAAUUACAAUCUGAGCAGUCAAUUCACGCAGGUGAUCGUUCGAUAAUGAUGUCACGUGACUCGCAGAUAAUAGACGCAGUGGAUGCGCUAAUCGCUGCAUAAACGAAUGCACCCUUAUAUUGAAAAUGACAAAAGUGAGCUCUUGCUUGAUUGGGUAACUUUCAUCAUAGUGAAAAUACGAACUAACUCGCAUGAAACUGUUCGGCAAGAAAUUCUGUGUCGAAUAACGUCAAAAUCGUGCGUAGUGUUGUUUAAUAUCCUCUAUAUCACACAUACCUCGAGAAAGUUACGUGAAUUAUUUUAUUGCUAUGAUAAUAGAAAACGACGAUAAUGAUAAUAAAAGACAACAAAUAAAAUAUCAAAAUAUUAUAAGGAGGCAAUUAAGAGAUUCUUUAGAUCCGUUUGAUACACCAGAGACUACAUUUGUCAAACUAUACAGGUUAAAUAAAGCUGCAACUAUGGAGCUACUAGAAGAAUUGAUACCUUUUAUGCCAAUUAAAAAGAGAAAGACAGCAAUUCCACCACAUUUACAAGUUGUUAAUUUAUCAAAUAUUUUCCUUCAUCUUUCCUAUUUUAUUAAAAUGUUCUUAUAGUGUUUUCUACUUUA